CUCUUCCUCAUUACGGCGGCGCGCGACGGCCAAAACUUCAUGAAGCCUCCUCGAGUCCAGCGGCUGGAGUCCACAUGACCAGCUUCCCCCCUUCGUGUGGGUGAGGCAAGGAGAUGAACAGAUCCGGCAAGCGCUUGCAGAGAACGAGGCCAACGUUGUCGCUGCCAGCGGAGUCCACACCGUUGUCUACCUCAUCUUGUCUUUCUGCGCUCUGCUGUUGGGAGCCGCGGACCUCAUUGGAAAGGAAAUACGGAAUUGCUCCACACACGACAUCAUGUGGCCGAUCCAUGGACGGCAAUAAAU